rnacentral:tRNA from 1 species
GAGGGUAUAGCUCAAGCAGUAGAGCACAUGCAUAGCAUGCAUGAGGUCCUGGUUCAAUCCCCAGUGCCUUCU